GACGAACGCUGGCGGCGUGCUUAACACAUGCAAGUCGAACGGAAAGGCCCUGCUUGCAGGGUACUCGAGUGGCGAACGGGUGUGUAACUCGUUUGUGAUCUGCCCUUCACUUCUGGUUAAGCCUUUGAAACUGGGUCUAAUACCUGAUAGUAGCCAUUUUUAGUGUGAUGGUUGGUAAGUUUUUUCGGUGUAGGAUGAGCUCGCUUCCUAUCAUCUUGUUGGUGGGGUAAUGGCCUACCAAGGCGGCGACGGGUAGCCGGCCUGAGAGGGUGGACGGCCACAUUGGGACUGAGAUACGGCACAGACACCUACGGGAGGAAGAAGUGGGGAAUAUUGCACAAUGGGCGCAAGCCUGAUGCAGCGACGCCGCGUGGGGGAUGACGGCCUUCGGGUUGUAAACUACUUUCGCUAGGGACGAAGCUUUUUGUGACGGUACCUAGAUAAGAAGCACCGGCUAACUACGUG
rnacentral:rRNA from 1 species